GCCAGGGUGGCUUAGUCGAUUGAGCGUCUGACUUCAGCUCAGGUCAUGGUCUCACCGUUGGUGAGUUCGAGCCCCACAUCAGGCU
rnacentral:tRNA from 1 species